GUUCAGGUUCCUAUGAAUAAGUGAUGGCCCCACUUAUUCGACUUUACCGGUAAAUGCAAAGGAAGUUUCAGGUGACGUCCGUUUCAGACGUACCCGAUGAUCAAGUAUGCAUGGGAUGGGAGUAGCCACUUCAUUAUGACCAUGCACACACCUUGCCACUCAUUAAAAUAAAUCCCUAGACUCGAUAAUUGUUUCGACUUUGAGGACUGUAGUGUGGUCGUUUGGAUGCCACUUAAUUUCAUUUGGUCAUGUUGGUCGAUGUGAAAUUCUUAAACUGUUUAUUUAUACCAUCAUGCUAUUAUAUAACCUAUGUGCCCGCAGAUGUUAGGAUUUGCAGGAGAGACUGCCAAAUUUACAAGAAUUUUUGUACUUAGUGUAAUUUAAUGUCUUUAGUAGUAUCCUCCA